GUUCUGCAAGGAUCCAUGGGUCCUGAAAUGAUACAGUGACCAAGGGAAUGUGCAGGUGUAGUGGUAGAAUGAGACGCGCCCAAAAUAUUUUUUGCAAUGUUUUUCUUUUUUCAGACUCGUAUCGUUGAAUCACACUGAGCCUAUUGAUGAUAGCUAACAUAAGACAUUGCUAAUGUCACAGUAGAGAUGAUGUAGGCCUUAGCCACAGCACCGACCAUCUGAUCUUCAGACUGCUAGGUGCUCCGUAGAAGUUGUGUUACCUGACAAUAGUCUUGACCUUGGAGUCCUACAGCUAUUCGAGCAGAGGUUUCCUGUCAAGAGAUUAUGAUGAAACUCGCACUAGUGAUUCUCUGGGGACAUUUCUGUUCCCCAGACAAGUGGUGAUGUUCACCUUCGCCAUUUCAAACCAUCUGACCUUCUCCUAUCUGGAUGAAUGUUAUCGAUGGACUAAACUUGCUUAGCGCAUGUGUUUUGGUUUUUUUUUUUUUUAAUA